UUUCUUUGAUAUGACUUUUUUUUCUUGCAAUAGUUGCACCAUAUGUUUCUUAUUAGAGAGUUUUUUCCCUUCUUUUUGGUGAGAGUCAAUCUUAACAAGUCCUUUAUCUUUAGGUUUUGUGGUUGCCAUAAUAGUUGUUUUAGAGAUGGGGUUGUUUAGCAUGAUCACUCUACUUAUUCAGUUCGUAUGAGUGAGAAGACCUCAUUUUGAGAUGGCAAAUUCUCAAUGCUUAAGAUUUGAACUCAAACUUGAUCGAAUUUAUUAUCGAGUCUUGCAUGACACUUAAACAUCAUUUCUCUUUCUACAAAUUAUUUGACAAUUACUAUAUCAUCUCUGCACUUCAUUUUGAGAUCUUGAUAGUAAUCUAGUUAAAGCCAAUCCACCUUCAUUGCAUUAAAAUAUUCAAUGAUAGGGAUAUUAUUUUGUCUAGUUGUUGAGAUCUUAGUUUUAAUUUCAUAGAUGAUAGUAGCAUCCUUAUUUUCGAGUAAGUUUGUUUGACAUCAUCCAAUGCAUCCUUUGCUAUUGUUAGGAGCAUCUACAACUCUUAGAUUUCAAGCAUCAUAGAAUUCCAUAACCUUGACAUGAUCAUGGAAUUUGCUUUAUUUCUAAAUGUGAAUUGGGUUCUUUUUGGCUCCAGUUGAGAAGUUUGAAGAUGAUGGAUUUUUUUUCCAUUCAUUUCAAAAAAGGUCAUUACAAUUUUGGACUAUUUCAGAAAAAAGGGAAUAAAAUUCAUUCAUUCAAACUGCCAUUUUCUACUCUCCUCUCUUCUCAUUGAAGCUAAUUUAGGUGAUAUUUUGAAGCAAAUGCUUGCUGCACUUCUAAAUACUGAGCUUGAGUUCCGCAAUCUGAUUCAGACCUGGAAUGUUUCUAUUUAUGUUUCUUUUUCUUUCGCUCAUCAAUCGCUUAGUUCUGAUAUCUGAAUGGUUAUUUGCAGUAACUUAUAACAUCUAUUGUUUUAU